rnacentral:rRNA from 1 species
AGGUCCUACGGGAGGCAGCAGUGGGGAAUAUUGCACAAUGGGGGAAACCCUGAUGCAGCGACGCCGCGUGAGUGAAGAAGUAUCUCGGUACGUAAAGCUCUAUCAGCAGGGAAGAAAAAAAGUCUUUGGCUUUGGACGGUACCUGACUAAGAAGCCCCGGCUAACUACGUGCCAGCAGCCGCGGUAAUACGUAGGGGGCAAGCGUUAUCCGGAUUUACUGGGUUUAAAGGGUGCGUAGGCGGGACGGUAAGUCAGCGGUAAAAAUGCGGAGCUCAACUCCGUCGAGCCGUUGAAACGGUCGUUCU